rnacentral:rRNA from 1 species
AUGGCUCAGGAUGAACGCUGGCGGCAUGCCUAAGACAUGCAAGUCGAACGAGAUGGCCCAGUGAAAGUUGCGUGCUUGCACAAGACUGGAUCUGGAUCACCAUCUAGUGGCAGACGGGUGAGUAACACGUGGGUGACCUACCUUUUCGUUGGGGAUAACAGUUGGAAACGAUUGCUAAUACCGAAUAAAAUAUAAGAGUCGGUUUUAUAUUGAAAGGAGCCUUUAAAGCUUCGCGAUUAGAUGGGCCUGCGGCGUAUUAACUAGUUGGUGGGGUAAUGGCCUACCAAGGUAACGAUGCGUAGCCGAACUGAGAGGUUGAUCGGCCACACUGGGACUGAGACACGGCCCAGACUCCUACGGGAGACAGCAGUUAGGAAUAUUCGUCAAUGGAGGAAACUCUGAACGAGCAAUGCCGCGUGAGUGAUGAAGGUCUUAUAGAUUGUAAAACUCUGUUGUAUGGAAAAAACGACUAGGUUAGGAAAUGAACUUAGUGUGAUGGUACCAUACCAGAAAGCCCCGGCUAACUACGUGCCAGCAGCCGCGGUAAUACGUAGGGGGCGAGCGUUAUCCGGAUUUAUUGGGCGUAAAGCGUGUGUAGGCGGUUUGUUAAGUUUAAGAUUAAAGCCCGGGGCUCAACUCCGGUAAGUCUUAAAAACUGGCAGGCUUGAGUACGGUAGAGGCAAACGGAAUUUCUAGUGUAGCGGUGAAAUGCGUAGAUAUUAGAAGGAACACCAGUGGCGAAAGCGGUUUGCUGGGCCGUUACUGACGCUGAGGCACGAAAGCGUGGGGAGCAAAUAGGAUUAGAUACCCUAGUAGUCCACGCCGUAAACGAUGAGUACUAAGUGUUGGGGUUACCCAGUGCUGAAGCUAACGUAUUAAGUACUCCGCCUGAGUAGUACGGUCGCAAGGCUGCAACUCAAAUGAAUUGACGG